UAAAUCAGGGUCGCAAAGCCACAGGGAUAGAGAGGGAUUAAAUGAGAGGGUGAUUAACUAAACGGCACCGAGAGAAAUAGAAGGUGCCAUCCAGUAGUAGAGGGGUUAUUUGAGAGGACGGUUAACUAAAAAGUACCUAGAGAAAUAGAAGAUGCCGUCUAAUAGAGGUAGGAAGGUGGUUUGUUUGUGUUGGACCUCUACGCCUGGAACUCCGGGACGCGGUACCUCUCCUACCAGUUGUACCAAUGAACUGCUUCACCGGGAGGUGUUCGGGUUUGGACUUCUUGGACGUGUCCUACCGUCGUGGUAGAAGUAGACGUCUUGCACGUCAGCAGCGGCUAGGUGGCGAGUCCGGUCUUAGACCGACAGAACCCCGGGUCAACAUGAGGUAGGCGGGGUACCUCAACCCGUCAUUAAGUAGUAGGUGGCUGUGCAUAGAACCACAGCAGGCCCUUCUGGAAAGGAAGCUACCGCGGCAACUGGAGCGGAUGCUCGGCAAUAUCAUAACCGCUUUAAACCUCAAGGAUGUUCAAUAAUUCAUAACCCGCUUUAAACCUCAAGGAAUACACGGAGGGUGCGAGUGCGGUAGGCUAAGUACAGUCCCUCCAAGAAUGGUUUACAGAGGUGUGUUCGAAACACCUAACCUUGAUCCUCACGUUUAAUCAAAAGAGAUAAUUCCUAAACUAUCACUUCCACCAGGAUAUUGGAUAAAGGUGAACUGAAAUUUUUUAAAACUUCCGCGGGAACGACUAAAAUAAUUACGAAGGACGAGUUCAUCGUUCACUAACUAUACAACGAGAGUGAAUCUAGUAGCAUAGAACGUCCGUGGAAGAAGAAAGAAGAAAAUUAACGUUAUAUUUAACCUAGAGAGUCAACACUUUACGGUAGAAGAGAUGAAUAGGAGAUGUCCGUGUUAACAUGACAAAACACAGGUUAGAGUCAUACGGUAAACUUAAAACAUAUCGAACGUAUCAGGGUCUAAGUAAUCGAGUAAGGUUAUAAAAAAUUAUCGAAUGUAUAAUAGUAAAUGUACUGAUUCAUACUCCCGUGAUAGUAGGGAAGGAAGGUUCAUAACCGGCGAUGAUAAACGUAAUCGAAACGGGGUCUUGUAUAGGGAAUAACGUGAAACUGUCUCGUUCAUGUCUCUAGAGUAAUUACCAGUCAAUAUGUAAUAACAUCUACAAGAAACUAAAUGUUUCUGUUCCUGGAGGAUGAUAACUACGAAGGAUUCGUAGCAAAGAUGGUAAACAAUAGAGUAUAAUACAACUACUCAUCUAUGUUAAUAGACAACAUUGUGGAUACAGAUGUGAACGACCGUAAACGAAUACAUUGUGGAUGGACCGAUAUAUAACAUCCUGAAUACAUGAUUUUACGUCUUCUAACUAAAUGUUGUUCUCAGUGUUUGUUAUGUGUUAUUCAUAGAGUUUUUGAUGUUAAACAUCUAUUGGAAAGUACAACAGAGGUAAAAUCUUAGAGCCAAGAACUACACAUAUAUAUCGUAACCAAAUAUACAUUUAGUCUACUCUAUUAAUACGGUACGGUGAUAUAAAUUAUUUUUGUAGUGUAUUAUGUGUAAGACG
rnacentral:rRNA from 1 species